GCAGCGGUAGUUCAGCUGGUUAGAAUGCCGCCCUGUCACGGCGGAGGUCGCGGGUUCGAGCCCCGUCCGCUGCGCCAU
rnacentral:tRNA from 1 species